AUUCCAGCUCCAAUAGCGUAUAUUAAAGUUGUUGCAGUUAAAAAGCUCGUAGUUGGAUUUCUGGCAGAGUGUCCUCCGUCCAGCAGUUCGUUUGGUUCGGAGCGCUCUACCAUCCUUCUGUUAACCUUUCCGGGAUUUACUUUUCGGACUGGGGCUCAGAUAUUUUACCUUGAGAAAAUUAGAGUGUUUCAGGCAGGCUAUUCGCCGGAAUACAUUAGCAUGGAAUAAUGGAAAAGGACUGCAACCUCUUCUGUUGGUCUGGGAGGCUGAAGUAAUGAUUAAUAGGGAUAGUUGGGGGCAUUAGUACUUUCCAGUCAGAGGUGAAAUUCUCCAAUUUGGUAAAGACUAACUUAUGCGAAAGCAUUUGCCAAGGAUGUUUUCAUUA
rnacentral:rRNA from 1 species